rnacentral:lncRNA from 1 species
AAAUACUAUAGAAUUAAUUUACUUUUAUCUACUUUUAUUUACUUCCAACUAUUUAUAUAUGUAAUUACUAGCUUACAUGAGUACGUCCGUGAUACCAAAUCUUAAUUUUAACCGAAUCCUAACUCUAAUCAAAUCCUAAUCCUAACCAAAAUCUAAAACCUAACCAAAUCUUAAUCCUUAUCAAAUCCUAAUGAAACCUUUAAAAAGUCCUAAUCAAAUCCUAGUCAAAUCCUAGUCAAAUCUUACUGAAAUCCUAAUAAAAUUCUUAUCAAAAUCUAAAUAAAUUCUAAUCUUAACCAAACCUUAAAUCAAACCAAAAUCCUAAUCCUAAUUCUAAACUAAAUCCUAAUCAA